rnacentral:misc_RNA from 1 species
GAGCAGCGACGACGUACCGAGCAAGGCCUCUUCAUUCCAUGGUUCAAGUGCAAGCACGCCUUGGCCGAUGCUUGUUUCCUGUGCUGAGUUCCUAUCGAAUGGUAAUCUCUUGGCCACCAUUGUCCCUUGCUCCUCCUCUCGACGCAGCCCUCAAUGGGGAUGCGGCGCGGGCAGGACGUNCAAGCCACCGUCGUGUUUCGCACUCCCCGCACUCCCCUUCGUGGGGUGCUCGGUUCUGCCGACCCACGUCGUUGUGCUCGAUAUCUCGGAUGCGGAAUACAAAACGGCUACGAGGCCACGGCCUCUAUUGACCCUUCGAAGGGCGUUCUACGCUCUCCACGGACGACUGUCGUUCGGGUCCUUGUUCCGGUGCCCCCCGUGGUUCGGAUCGAUGCCCGUUCGGCGUCGACGAGGAAUGCUACCUGGUUGAUCCUGCCAGUAGUCAUAUG